CAAUGAUUCAGCAUUUCGAGAGUCCUUGCCGUCAUGAGAAAGAUUGGGCCAAUUAAUGCUGGGCAAGUUGAAAUCCCCAGUUAUAAGAAUGUUUGAACGCGAAUUUGUAUUUUGUAGCAGGUAAUCGUAGAGUGCUUCUAAGUAUUCUGGAGGUGCGUUUGGAGGCCGAUAGACACCUCCCAAAAUUAUAUUCUUACGAAAAAAAUUCAGUUUGCACCACACGCUUUCGUGAUUAUCUAUACCAUCCAAGCGAGUAAAUUUAACAUUGUUUUUAAUCGCAACUGCAACGCCCCCUCCCCGUGAUCCUCUGUCCCUACGGAUAAGGGUGUAAGAUGAUGGCACUAUUUCAGAAUUUUGAACUUCAGAAUGCAGCCAGGUUUCUGUGAUCACCAAAACGUGUGGUUGGUAAGUUGAAAUUAUAUCUUCAAGAAGCUGUAUCUUAUUCAAGACACUUCGUGCAUUAAGUGAAAUAAUCCGAAGCGUUUUGUUAGCUUGUCACUUGUUAUCGCGUUUACGAGCGGUUGCCCGAGUGAAGCGAGAAGUCAACUUUUCGGGUUGCGCAGACGCAGUGGAUUGAGACAGCUCUGUCCUGCAAUUACGAAGUGCGUCCCACACAUACAGUUUGCCAUCAACUUUUAGUUUAUCGAAAACAAGCGAAACUUUAGAACCGGUCUUUCUUUCUUCAAGGGUGGAACGCCACAACUUUGCACGAGUAUCGCGAAUAUUUUUAGAAAAGUCUUCCGAUAUGGAUAUUUCGGUUCCUUUUAAUUUGAAACAGGAUGACAAUACCUUAGUUUUAUCAGCGUAGUUAUAGAGUUUCAAAAUUACCGGUCGAGGGCGCUGUGCGUUCCUUUGACCGAUUCGAUGUAUUCGCUCUAUGGAAUUGAUUUCAACACCCAGAAUUUUUCUGAAGAUAUCGCCAUUUACUUUCUGUUCUAGUUCUUUUGAAUCUUCCCCAUGUUUUUCUUCUACACCAUAAACUAAAAGGUUAUUACGACGACUCCUAUUUUCGAGAUCAUCGACUUUUGCUCUUAACUCAAGAAUUAUCUUGUCAGUACUCUGACAAGUUUCUUCCACCUUCUCCAAUCUUUGCUCGCAUUUCUCAGUUCGACCGAGCUCUUGCUCAAGAUUGGUAAUCCGAGUUUGAAUGUCCGCGACUGUUGACUCUACCUGUUUCAGGUUAGUAGUUAAUGCGACAAGAGUUUUAUUUGUCUUUGUUUGUUCUUUCAAGAUUUUUUUGAGUAAUUCACUGUUUAGAUGUGCCUCUGACUCUGAGUCCGAAGAGGGACCGGGGUUUAGUUCUAUAUCUCCGGAAGUUAGUAGCAUCAAACGUAUUACAUCAUAACAGUCACACAAUAAACCGAGCAGACACUGUGGGCUUGGCAACACUGUCAGCGUGAGUGAGUCGUCUUUGAUAGAGGAAACUAAGUAUUUGUCACCAACCUGGACAAAGAAAAUCGGCGUAAGCAUCCUUCUGCCAGCAGUGUCACCAAGCCCACUGAAAGGAUCUUCCAACGGGCUCCGGUAUUUAUGCUUGAAAUUAUCGGCACUGGAUGAUGUCACGGAGUUGAUUCGAUGAUAUGCCUGGCUUAAGUAGGGCGCAGGUUCGUGAUGAAUCCAUGGCGGUGCUGCGGUGACGAAGUCCGUCUGCGCAUGCUCCCUGUCUUCCGGCGCGUGACCGUCAGAGGAAGCCCGCACGAAGGCAUGGCCGCGGAGUGCAGGUCGCGCGAAGGCAAGGCCAGUUGAUCCAACGGCGAAAUAGGCCUGCCAGGCGAUCUGGACAAAGAAAAUCGGCGUAAGCAUCCUUCUGCCAGCAGUGUCACCAAGCCCACUGAAAGGAUCUUCCAACGGGCUCCGGUAUUUAUGCUUGAAAUUAUCGGCACUGGAUGAUGUCACGGAGUUGAUUCGAUGAUAUGCCUGGCUUAAGUAGGGCGCAGGUUCGUGAUGAAUCCAUGGCGGUGCUGCGGUGACGAAGUCCGUCUGCGCAUGCUCCCUGUCUUCCGGCGCGUGACCGUCAGAGGAAGCCCGCACGAAGGCAUGGCC